GAGGUGCUCUGACAGGCUUUUUACACAGUGACAUGUGAGGAGUCUCAGACACCAGAGGCCCGCAGUUUUGUCAAGAGAGCAUCGCCACCUCUCAGACCCUACAAAGGUUUUAAGAGGAAGACAUUGAACCCCUGCCAUCCCUCUUCAGCCUCACAGAAACUGGUUCAAGACCCCAGACCUCAGAUUGCUGUUUGUUGGUGAGGAAUGUCCCAGAAAGGAGCUCACUUCUCCACCAUGACUGUGGUGCUCACCGUGUUGCUUGAGGUGGUCCUGCUCCUGAGAGGAUCGAGAGCCCAGUCGGUGACCCAGCCUGACGCCCACGUCUCUGUCUCUGAAGGAGGCCAGCUGGAGUUGAAGUGCAACUAUUCCUAUGGUGCAACUCCUAGUCUCUUCUGGUACGUCCAGUACCCCAACCAAGGACCCCAGCUUCUCCUCAAGGACCUAUCAGGGGACACCCUGGUUAAAGGCAUCAACGGUUUUGAGGCUGAAUUUAAGAAGGAAAAAACCUCUUUCCACUUGAAGAAAAGCUCUACCCACUGGAGUGACUCAGCCCAGUACUUCUGUGCUGUGAGUGGCACAGUGCCUGGGGCUGCAGGGGGAGCUGAGCACAAACCUCCAGUGACUUUGUAACUAAAGAGACUUUGCGUCUCAGGCUAAGUUAUUUGCUCACGUAUGGCAUGCGGGUAUGCCAAAUAGUACAGAAAAAUCAGAAUCAAAACAGGGAGUGUUC